GUUCCUAGUUCCUCUUUUUUUCACAAAGAAGCGAAGUAAAUCGCAACAAUAAGUAACAGAACCGUAACAAACCAACGGCACCCCGUACACGCCAGGAAGUGGUGUGCACGCCAUGAACGAGUUGUUCUACGUCUGUUACCAUAGUGAACUACUCGCCUACUGCCUACUAUCUAGAUGAGGAAGAGG